rnacentral:rRNA from 1 species
UUAAGCGACUAAGCGUACACGGUGGAUGCCCUGGCAGUCAGAGGCGAUGAAGGGCGUGCUAAUCUGCGAUAAGCGCCGGUAAGGUGAUAUGAACCGUUAUAACCGGCGAUACCCGAAUGGGGAAACCCAGUGUGAUUCGUCACACUAUCAUUAACUGAAUCCAUAGGUUAAUGAGGCGAACCGGGGGAACUGAAACAUCUAAGUACCCCGAGGAAAAGAAAUCAACCGAGAUUCCCCCAGUAGCGGCGAGCGAACGGGGAGGAGCCCAGAGCCUGAAUCAGCAUGUGUGUUAGUGGAAGCGUCUGGAAAGGUGCGCGAUACAGGGUGACAGCCCCGUACACAAAAGCGCAUGUGCUGUGAGCUCGAUGAGUAGGGCGGGACACGUGGUAUCCUGUCUGAAUAUGGGGGGACCAUCCUCCAAGGCUAAAUACUCCUGACUGACCGAUAGUGAACCAGUACCGUGAGGGAAAGGCGAAAAGAACCCCGGCGAGGGGAGUGAAAAAGAACCUGAAACCGUGUACGUACAAGCAGUGGGAGCACAGGUUUACCUGUGUGACUGCGUACCUUUUGUAUAAUGGGUCAGCGACUUAUAUUCUGUAGCAAGGUUAACCGAAUAGGGGAGCCGGAGGGAAACCGAGUCUUAAUUGGGCGUUAAGUUGCAGGGUAUAGACCCGAAACCCGGUGAUCUAGCCAUGGGCAGGUUGAAGGUUGGGUAACACUAACUGGAGGACCGAACCGACUAAUGUUGAAAAAUUAGCGGAUGACCUGUGGCUGGGGGUGAAAGGCCAAUCAAACCGGGAGAUAGCUGGUUCUCCCCGAAAGCUAUUUAGGUAGCGCCUCGUGAAUUCAUCUCCGGGGGUAGAGCACUGUUUCGGCUAGGGGGCCAUCCCGGCUUACCAACCCGAUGCAAACUGCGAAUACCGGAGAAUGUUAUCACGGGAGACACACGGCGGGUGCUAACGUCCGUCGUGAAGAGGGAAACAACCCAGACCGCCAGCUAAGGUCCCAAAGUCAUGGUUAAGUGGGAAACGAUGUGGGAAGGCCCAGACAGCCAGGAUGUUGGCUUAGAAGCAGCCAUCAUUUAAAGAAAGCGUAAUAGCUCACUGGUCGAGUCGGCCUGCGCGGAAGAUGUAACGGGGCUAAACCAUGCACCGAAGCUGCGGCAGCGAACGUAUCACUUAAAGCGAUUCAGCGGGUUACGAUUGACGGAGCGAAGCGACGUCAAAGCGUAUACAAAGUCGAGUCGGUUUAAGGAUACGUUCGUUGGGUAGGGGAGCGUUCUGUAAGCCCGUGAAGGUGGCCUGUGAGGGUUGCUGGAGGUAUCAGAAGUGCGAAUGCUGACAUAAGUAACGAUAAAGCGGGUGAAAAGCCCGCUCGCCGGAAGACCAAGGGUUCCUGUCCAACGUUAAUCGGGGCAGGGUGAGUCGACCCCUAAGGCGAGGCCGAAAGGCGUAGUCGAUGGGAAACGGGUUAAUAUUCCCGUACUUGGUGUUACUGCGAAGGGGGGACGGAGAAGGCUAUGUUGGCCGGGCGACGGUUGUCCCGGUUUAAGCGUGUAGGUGUGUGUUCCAGGUAAAUCCGGUUCACUUUAACACUGAGGCGUGACGACGAGGCACUACGGUGCUGAAGCAACAAAUGCCCUGCUUCCAGGAAAAGCCUCUAAGCAUCAGGUAACAUCAAAUCGUACCCCAAACCGACACAGGUGGUCAGGUAGAGAAUACCAAGGCGCUUGAGAGAACUCGGGUGAAGGAACUAGGCAAAAUGGUGCCGUAACUUCGGGAGAAGGCACGCUGACACGUAGGUGAAGUGAUUUACUCAUGGAGCUGAAGUCAGUCGAAGAUACCAGCUGGCUGCAACUGUUUAUUAAAAACACAGCACUGUGCAAACACGAAAGUGGACGUAUACGGUGUGACGCCUGCCCGGUGCCGGAAGGUUAAUUGAUGGGGUCAGCGCAAGCGAAGCUCCUGAUCGAAGCCCCGGUAAACGGCGGCCGUAACUAUAACGGUCCUAAGGUAGCGAAAUUCCUUGUCGGGUAAGUUCCGACCUGCACGAAUGGCGUAAUGAUGGCCAGGCUGUCUCCACCCGAGACUCAGUGAAAUUGAACUCGCUGUGAAGAUGCAGUGUACCCGCGGCAAGACGGAAAGACCCCGUGAACCUUUACUAUAGCUUGACACUGAACAUUGAGCCUUGAUGUGUAGGAUAGGUGGGAGGCUUUGAAGUGUGGACGCCAGUCUGCAUGGAGCCGACCUUGAAAUACCACCCUUUAAUGUUUGAUGUUCUAACGUGGACCCGUAAUCCGGGUUGCGGACAGUGUCUGGUGGGUAGUUUGACUGGGGCGGUCUCCUCCUAAAGAGUAACGGAGGAGCACGAAGGUUGGCUAAUCCUGGUCGGACAUCAGGAGGUUAGUGCAAUGGCAUAAGCCAGCUUGACUGCGAGCGUGACGGCGCGAGCAGGUGCGAAAGCAGGUCAUAGUGAUCCGGUGGUUCUGAAUGGAAGGGCCAUCGCUCAACGGAUAAAAGGUACUCCGGGGAUAACAGGCUGAUACCGCCCAAGAGUUCAUAUCGACGGCGGUGUUUGGCACCUCGAUGUCGGCUCAUCACAUCCUGGGGCUGAAGUAGGUCCCAAGGGUAUGGCUGUUCGCCAUUUAAAGUGGUACGCGAGCUGGGUUUAGAACGUCGUGAGACAGUUCGGUCCCUAUCUGCCGUGGGCGCUGGAGAACUGAGGGGGGCUGCUCCUAGUACGAGAGGACCGGAGUGGACGCAUCACUGGUGUUCGGGUUGUCAUGCCAAUGGCACUGCCCGGUAGCUAAAUGCGGAAGAGAUAAGUGCUGAAAGCAUCUAAGCACGAAACUUGCCCCGAGAUGAGUUCUCCCUGAGACUUAGAGUCUCCUGAAGGAACGUUGAAGACGACGACGUUGAUAGGCCGGGUGUGUAAGCGCAGCGAUGCGUUGAGCUAACCGGUACUAAUGAACCGUGAGGCUUAACCUU